rnacentral:rRNA from 1 species
UGAUGCCGACCGCUGGCGGCAUGUCUAACACAUGCUAGUCGAACGGUAACGCUGGGAGCUUGCUCCCAGGCGACGAGUGGCGGACGGGUGAGUAAUGCUUAGGAAUCUGCCCGGUAGUGGGGGACAACUCGGGGAAACCCGAGCUAAUACCGCAUACGCCCUAUGGGGGAAAGCGGGGGCUCUUCGGACCUCGCGCUAUCGGAUGAGCCUAAGUCAGAUUAGCUGGUUGGUGGGGUAACGGCUCACCAAGGCGACGAUCUGUAGCUGGUCUGAGAGGACGAUCAGCCACACUGGAACUGAGACACGGUCCAGACUCCUACGGGGGGCAGCAGUGGGGAAUAUUGCACAAUGGGCGCAAGCCUGAUGCAGUAAUGCCGCGUGUGUGAAGAAGGCCUGCGGGUUGUAAAGCACUUUCAGUAAGGAGGAAAAGUUGUCGGUUAAUACCCGGCGACCUUGACGUUACUUACAGAAGAAGCACCGGCUAACUCCGUGCCAGCAGCCGCGGUAAUACGGAGGGUGCGAGCGCUAAUCGGAAUUACUGGGCGUAAAGCGCGCGUAGGCGGUCUGGUCAGUCGGAUGUGAAAGCCCCGGGCUUAACCCGGGAACUGCGUUCGAUACUGCCAGACUGGAGUAUGUUAGAGGAAAGCGGAAUUCCCGGUGUAGCGGUGAAAUGCGUAGAUAUCGGGAGGAACAUCAGUGGCGAAGGCGGCUUUCUGGAUCAAUACUGACGCUGAGGCGCGAAAGCGUGGGGAGCAAACUGGAUUAGAUACCCUGGUAGUCCACGCCCUAAACGAUGUCAACCAGCCGUUGGGUUUCAUUUAAGGAUUCAGUGGCGCAGCUUACGCGUUAAGUUGACCGCCUGGGGAGUACGGCCGCAAGGUUA